rnacentral:rRNA from 1 species
UACAGAGGUCUCAAGCGUUGUUCGGAUUCAUUGGGCGUAAAGGGUGCGUAGGUGGCGCGGUAAGUGGGGUGUGAAAUUUCGGAGCUUAACUCCGAAACUGCAUUCCAUACUGCCGUGCUUGAGGACUGGAGAGGAGACUGGAAUUUACGGUGUAGCAGUGAAAUGCGUAGAUAUCGUAAGGAAGACCAGUGGCGAAGGCGGGUCUCUGGACAGUUCCUGACACUGAGGCACGAAGGCCAGGGGAGCAAACGGG